CCUACGGGAGGCAGCAGUGAGGAAUAUUGGUCAAUGGGCGGAAGCCUGAACCAGCCAAGUAGCGUGCGGGAUGAAGGCCCUACGGGUCGUAAACCGCUUUUGCACGGGGAUAACACCCUCCACUUGUGGAGGUCUGCAGGUACCGUGCGAAUAAGGGCCGGCUAAUUCCGUGCCAGCAGCCGCGGUAAUACGGAAGGCCCGAGCGUUAUCCGGAUUCAUUGGGGUUAAAGGGAGCGUAGGCGGGCGUUCAAGUCAGCGGUAAAAUCGCGCGGCUCAACCGCGCCCCGCAGUUGAAACUGGGCGCCUUGAGUGCACAACAGGCAGGCGGAAGUCGUGGUGUAGCGGUGAAAUGCAUAGAUAGCACGCAGAACUCCGAUUGCGAAGGCAGCAUACCGGCGCCCAACUGACGCUGAAGCACGAAAGCGUGGGUAUCGAACAGGAUUAGAUACCCUGGUAGUC
rnacentral:rRNA from 1 species